rnacentral:miRNA from 1 species
CAACCUCAUUUCUAGCUUCUGG